rnacentral:rRNA from 1 species
GAUGAACGCUGGCGGCGUGCCUAAUACAUGCAAGUCGAGCGAACAGACGAGGAGCUUGCUCCUCUGACGUUAGCGGCGGACGGGUGAGUAACACGUGGAUAACCUACCUAUAAGACUGGGAUAACUUCGGGAAACCGGAGCUAAUACCGGAUAAUAUAUUGAACCGCAUGGUUCAAUAGUGAAAGACGGUUUUGCUGUCACUUAUAGAUGGAUCCGCGCCGCAUUAGCUAGUUGGUAAGGGAACGGCUUACCAAGGCGACGAUGCGUAGCCGACCUGAGAGGGUGAGCGGCCACACUGGAACUGAGACACGGUCCAGACUCCUACGGGAGGCAGCAGGAGGGAAUCUUCCGCAAUGGGCGGAAGCCUGACGGAGCAACGCCGCGUGAGUGAUGAAGGUCUUCGGAUCGUAAAACUCUGUUAUUAGGGAAGAACAAAUGUGUAAGUAACUAUGCACGUCUUGACGGUACCUAAUCAGAAAGCCACGGCUAACUACGUG